AUUGAACGCUGGCGGCAGGCCUAACACAUGCAAGUCGAACGAGUGGCAGACGGGUUAGUAAUGACUGGGCAACUGCCAGAUGGAGGGGAAUAUCUACCGGAAACGGUAGCUAAUACCGCAUACCAUCAGCUGUACCCAGAUGGGAUUAUCUUGUUGGUGGGGGAAGGGCUCACAAAGGCGACGAUCCCUAGCUGGUCUGAGAGGAGGUCCCGCAAAACUGGAACUGGGACACGGUACAGAAUCCUACGUGAUGCAGCAGUGGGGAAUAUUGAACAAUGGGCGCAAGCCUGAUGCAGCCAUGCGGCGGGUAAGAAGAAGGCCUUCGGGUUGUAAAGUACUUUCAGCGGGGAGGCGUUACCCGCAGAAGAAGCACCGGCUAACUCCGUGCCAGCAGCCGCGGUAAUAC
rnacentral:rRNA from 1 species